rnacentral:rRNA from 1 species
UACGGGGGGGGCAAGCGUUGUUCGGAAUUACUGGGCGUAAAGGGCCAGUAGGCGGCCAACUAAGUCCGACGUGAAAUCCCAAGGCUUAACCUUGGAACUGCGUCGGAUACUGGAUGGCUUGAAUUCGGGAGAGGGAUGCGGAAUUCCAGGUGUAGCGGUGAAAUGCGUAGAUAUCUGGAGGAACACCGGUGGCGAAGGCGGCAUCCUGGACCGGCAUUGACGCUGAGGCGCGAAAGCCAGGGGAGCAAACGGG